GACGAACGCUGGCGGCGUGCUUAACACAUGCAAGUCGAACGGAAAGGCCCAGCUUGCUGGGUGCUCGAGUGGCGAACGGGUGAGUAACACGUGGGUGAUCUGCCCCUAACUUCGGGAUAAGCUCGGGAAACUGGGUCUAAUACCGGAUAGGACAAUCGUUUAGUGUCGGUUGUGGAAAGUUUUUUCGGUUAGGGAUGAGCCCGCGGCCUAUCAGCUUGUUGGUGGGGUAAUGGCCUACCAAGGCGUCGACGGGUAGCCGGCCUGAGAGGGUGGACGGCCACAUUGGGACUGAGAUACGGCCCAGACUCCUACGGGAGGCAGCAGUGGGGAAUAUUGCACAAUGGGCGCAAGCCUGAUGCAGCGACGCCGCGUGGGGGAUGACGGCCUUCGGGUUGUAAACCUCUUUCGACAGGGACGAAGCUUUGGUGACGGUACCUGUAUAAGAAGCACCGGCUAACUACGUG
rnacentral:rRNA from 1 species